rnacentral:rRNA from 1 species
CGCCCUUAGAGUUUGAUCCUGGCUCAGAAUCAACGCUGGCGGCGUGCCUAACACAUGCAAGUCGAACGCGAAAGCCCCGCAAGGGGUGAGUAGAGUGGCAAACGGGUGAGUAACACGUGGGUGACCUGCCGUCGAGUGGGGGAUAACGUCCCGAAAGGGACGCUAAUACCGCAUACGAUGCCGCCUUUGAAGAGGGGGACAUCAAAGCUGGGGAUCGCAAGACCUGGCGCUUGACGAGGGGCCCGCGCCUGAUUAGCUAGUUGGUGGGGUAAUGGCUCACCAAGGCGACGAUCAGUAUCCGGCCUGAGAGGGCGGACGGACACACUGGGACUGAGACACGGCCCAGACUCCUACGGGAGGCAGCAGUGGGGAAUUGUUCGCAAUGGGCGCAAACCUGACGACGCAACGCCGCGUGGAGGAUGAAGAUCUUCGGGUCGUAAACUCCUUUCGAUCGAGACGAAGAACCGGGGGGUGAAUAGCCCGCCGGUGUGACGGUACCGAGAGAAGAAGCCCCGGCUAACUCCGUGCCAGCAGCCGCGGUAAUACGGGGGGGGCAAGCGUUGUUCGGAAUUACUGGGCGUAAAGGGCUCGUAGGCGGCCAACUAAGUCGGACGUGAAAUCCCUCAGCUUAACUGGGGAAUGGCGUCCGAUACUGGAUGGCUUGAGUUCGGGAGAGGGAUGCGGAAUUCCAGGUGUAGCGGUGAAAUGCGUAGAUAUCUGGAGGAACACCGGGUGGGCGAAGGCGGCAUCCUGGACCGGCACUGACGCUGAGGAGCGAAAGCCAGGGGAGCAAACGGGAUUAGAUACCCCGGUAGUCCUGGCCCUAAACGAUGAAA